rnacentral:rRNA from 1 species
ACAGCAGCAGCCGCGGGAACACGUAGGUGGCAAGCGUUGUCCGGAAUUAUUGGGCGUAAAGGGCUCGCAGGCGGUUUCUUAAGUCUGAUGUGAAAGCCCCCGGCUCAACCGGGGAGGGUCAUUGGAAACUGGGAAACUUGAGUGCAGAAGAGGAGAGUGGAAUUCCACGUGUAGCGGUGAAAUGCGUAGAGAUGUGGAGGAACACCAGUGGCGAAGGCGACUCUCUGGUCUGUAACUGACGCUGAGGAGCGAAAGCGUGGGGAGCGAACAGGAUUAGAUACCCCGGUAGUCCCUGUCUCUUAUAC